rnacentral:rRNA from 1 species
AGUGAACGCUGGCGGCGUGCUUAACACAUGCAAGUCGAACGAGAACGGGAUAUAGCUUGCUAUAUUUGUCAGCUAAGUGGCGCACGGGUGAGUAAUGUAUAGGUAAUAUGCCUCUUACUAAGGGAUAACAAUUGGAAACGAUUGCUAAUACCUUAUAUGCCUUUAAGACUAAAGUCUGCAAGGGAAAGAUUUAUUGGUAAGAGAUUAGCCUGUAUUGUAUCAGCUAGUUGGUGAGGUAAUGGCUCACCAAGGCUAUGACGCAUAACUGGUUUGAGAGGAUGAUCAGUCACACUGGAACUGAGACACGGUCCAGACUCCUACGGGAGGCAGCAGUGGGGAAUAUUGCACAAUGGACGAAAGUCUGAUGCAGCAACGCCGCGUGGAGGACGACACAUUUCGGUGCGUAAACUCCUUUUAUAUGGGAAGAUAAUGACGGUACUAUAUGAAUAAGCACCGGCUAACUCCGUGCCAGCCGCCGCGGUAAAAC